CAGCUUGACCUGAUUACGAAUUCGAGCUCGGUACCCGGGGAUCCUCUAGAGAUUAUUCCGGUUGAUCCCGGCGGACCUGACUGCUAUCGGAUUGAUACUAAGCCAUGCGAGUCAUUGUAGCAAUACAAGGCAGACGGCUCAGUAACGCGUAGUCAAUCUACCCUAUGGACGGGAAUAACCUCGGGAAACUGAGAAUAAUGCCCGACAGAACAUUAUACCUGGAACGGUUUAUGUUUCAAAUGAUUUAUCGCCGUAGGAUGGGACUGCGGCCUAUCAGUUUGUUGGUGAGGUAAUGGCCCACCAAGACUAUUACAGGUACGGGCUCUGAGAGGAGUAGCCCGGAGAUGGGUACUGAGACACGGACCCAGGCCCUAUGGGGCGCAGCAGGCGAGAAAACUUUGCAAUGUGCGAAAGCACGACAAGGUUAAUCCGAGUGGUUUCUGCUAAAGAAACCUUUUGCUAGUCCUA
rnacentral:rRNA from 1 species